CUGGAAUGGGAGAAUGAGAUGCCUUGGGUUGGGAGGGUCCUGAAAGGUCACAGAGCCAUAGAAUGGCCUGGGAGAGCCCUUGAAGGUCAUAGAGGUAGAGAAGGGGUUGAGAGGGUCCUUGAAGGACACAGAGGUAGAGAAGGGGUUGAGAGGGUCCUUGAAGGACACAGAGGCAUGGAAGAGUUGGGUUGGGAGGGUCCUGAAAGUUCACAGAGCCUUAGAAGGGGUUGAGAGGGUCCUUGAAGGACACAGAGGUAGAGAAGGGGUUGAGAGGGUCCUUGAAGGACACAGAGGCAUGGAAGAGUUGGGUUGGGAGGGUCCUGAAAGUUCAUAGAGCCAUAGAAGGGGUUGGGAGAGCCCUUGAAGGUCAUAGAGGUAGAGAAGGGGUUGAGAGGGUCCUUGAAGGACACAGAGGCAUGGAAGAGUUGGGUUGGGAGGGUCUUGAAAGUUCACAGAGCCAUAG